GAGAAAUGAAAGGGAGGCAAUAGUACCGGGAAGUGGAACCAUAGAGAGGAGAUCCAGAGUGGUUCGGGCGAGCCCUUUCUCGCGAUGUCAAGGCCGCCAUCCGCUGUCCGUCGCUGAUGCCCCUGGCAAAUAUUGAAACAGGCAUGAAUGUACAGAUAACGCCCAGCAAAUGAUGUUCAGGAACCUGGAAGUUCCAUUUUGCCAUUGUAACAAGAAGACCAUCAUUGGUUAAUGUUUGGAAGGGUGACUGUACACAAUUGGUGCAGGACACUGAUCAACGAAGUUUGUCCAUGUACUUGUGGCCCACCUUCUGAAGGUGAUUGACCACCGGAGACGAGGCCUUCUGUGUUGUGGCACCUCUAUUGUGGAACUUACUCCACUCAGCUGUUUUCAUAACCCCAGAUCUGGAGUAUUCACCAGAUACCUCAAGCAAAAACAUUUUCAUUUAGCUGGAUCUCAUCUUAAGUUUUGUCUGACAGGCAACCCCCACCCCCAAUCAUCUUUUUAAUGCCAUUUUAGUAUUUUAGUGGUGUUGCUAUUAAAUGCCUGACUGCAAGGCCA